AUUGAACGCUGGCGGCAUGCCUUACACAUGCAAGUCGAACGGCAGCACGGGGGCAACCCUGGUGGCGAGUGGCGAACGGGUGAGUAACAUAUCGGAACAUACCCUAGAGUGGGGGAUAACGUAGCGAAAGUUACGCUAAUACCGCAUACGAUCUAAGGAUGAAAGUGGGGGGAUCUUCGGACCUCAUGCUCAUGGAGUGGCCGAUAUCUGAUUAGCUAGUUGGUGAGGUAAAGGCUCACCAAGGCGACGAUCAGUAGCUGGUUUGAGAGAACGACCAGCCACACUGGAACUGAGACACGGUCCAGACUCCUACGGGAGGCAGCAGUGGGGAAUUUUGGACAAUGGGGGCAACCCUGAUCCAGCGAUGCCGCGUGUGUGAAGAAGGCCUGAAGGUUGUAAAGCACUUUAGUUGGGGAGGAAGAAUCCAGAGAUGAAUAAGCUAUGGAAAUGACGUUACCCAAAGAAUAAG
rnacentral:rRNA from 1 species